GACAUAGGUGGCGAACGUUAUCCGGAUUUAUUGGGCGUAAAGGAUGCGUAGAUGGUAGAAUAGUUAUUGGUAGAAGUCAGCUCAACUUGAUUGGAAGCUGAUAAUUACUGGUUCUGCUGGAGGACCAGGAGAGGUUAGCGGAACUCUAUGCGUAGGGGUGAAAUCCAUUGAUCUAUAGGGGACCACCAAAAGGCGAAGGCAGCUAACUAUUCUGUUCCUGACAUUGAGGCAUGGAAAGCGUGGGGAGCAAAACGG
rnacentral:rRNA from 1 species